rnacentral:lncRNA from 1 species
GCUGCAAAACCAAAAGAAGAGAAAAGAAACACGAUAGAGAAAAAAACAUGAGAAAGGAGAAAAGAAAGAGGUGCGAGUGGAGAAUGAAGGAGGCAAAAGGGAGAAGCGCUAGAGUGAAAGUGAGGCUUGGGGUGUAGUGUUUUCCUUUUUAAAAUUGAGAAAGAAUAUUUUUUGGAUCAAAGAUUUUUUUGAUGUGUAAGAGGUGCUACAGAUGACCAAAAUGGAUAUUUUCAAUAAAAUUGGAGGUGUAGAUAAAAUUAUAAAAAUACAGAGAGAAUAAUUCUAUAUUUAAAUAUUAUGAGAUAUAAUUGCAUCUUAUAUUUACAUUAAAAUUAUGUUUGAGUAUUAUGAAAAUA